UACGUAGGGGGCAAGCGUUGUCCGGAAUUAUUGGGCGUAAAGCGCGCGCAGGCGGUCUUUUAAGUCUGGGGUUUAAGUUCGGGGCUCAACCCCGUAUCGCCCUGGAAACUGGGAGACUGGAGUGCAGGAGAGGAAAGUGGAAUUCCACGUGUAGCGGUGAAAUGCGUAGAGAUGUGGAGGAACACCAGUGGCGAAGGCGACUUUCUGGCCUGUAACUGACGCUGAGGCGCGAAAGCGUGGGGAGCAAACAGG
rnacentral:rRNA from 1 species